rnacentral:ribozyme from 1 species
UGCCCAGAAAUUCCUAUCCCUACCUCCUCACGGUACUGGCCGGGGUAACACCAACCUUGGAGAAGAUCGGGUAACCAACCCCGGUGAAAACUUUGGUCGUAUGCUGACAGGGAAGG